UUAGCAAUUAUACCGCGAAACUGCGAAUGGCUCAUUAUAUAAGUUAUCGUUUAUUUGAUAAUACUUUACUACUUGGAUAACCGUGGUAAUUCUAGAGCUAAUACAUGCUGAAAAUCCCGACUUCGGAAGGGAUGUAUUUAUUAGAUUAAAAACCAAUGCCCCUCGGGGCUCUCUGGUGAAUCAUGAUAACUAGUCGAAUCGACAGGCCUUGUGCCGGCGAUGGCUCAUUCAAAUUUCUUCCCUAUCAACUUUCGAUGUUUGGGUAUUGGCCAAACAUGGUGGCAACGGGUAACGGAGGGUUAGGGCUCGACCCCGGAGAAGGAGCCUGAGAAACGGCUACUACAUCCAAGGAAGGCAGCAGGCGCGCAAAUUACCCAAUCCCGACACGGGGAGGUAGUGACAAUAAAUACUGAUACAGGGCUCUUUUGGGUCUUGUAAUCGGAAUGAGUACAAUUUAAAUCCCUUAACGAGGAACAAUUGGAGGGCAAGUCUGGUGCCAGCAGCCGCGGUAAUUCCAGCUCCAAUAGCGUAUAUUAAAGUUGUUGUGGUUAAAAAGCUCGUAGUUGAACCUUGGGCCUGGCUGGCCGGUCCGCCUCACCGCGUGCACUGGUCCGGCCGGGCCUUUCCCUCUGCGGAACCCCAUGCCCUUCACUGGGUGUGGCGGGGAAACAGGACUUUUACUUUGAAAAAAUUAGAGUGCUCAAGGCAGGCCUAUGCUCGAAUACAUUAGCAUGGAAUAAUAGAAUAGGACGUGUGGUUCUAUUUUGUUGGUUUCUAGGACCGCCGUAAUGAUUAAUAGGGACAGUCGGGGGCAUCAGUAUUCAAUUGUCAGAGGUGAAAUUCUUGGAUUUAUUGAAGACUAACUACUGCGAAAGCAUUUGCCAAGGAUGUUUUCAUUAAUCAGGAACGAAAGUUAGGGGAUCGAAGACGAUCAGAUACCGUCGUAGUCUUAACCAUAAACUAUGCCGACUAGGGAUCGGACGAUGUUACAUUUUUGACGCGUUCGGCACCUUACGAGAAAUCAAAGUGCU
rnacentral:rRNA from 1 species